ACGCAUUCUUCGGAAUGAGUGGCGCACGGCUGAGGAACACGUGACUAACCUACCCCGGUGUGGGGGAUAACGGGUCGAAAGACUCGCUAAUCCCGCAUACGAUCCGCCUCGGCGGAGGAAAGCCGUAAGGCGCACUGGGCGGGGGUCGCGUCCCAUUAGAUAGUUGGUGUGGUAAUGGCGCACCAAGUCGAUGAUGGGUCUCUGGUCUGAGAGGACGACCAGACAGAUUGGGACUGAGACACGGCCCAAACUCCUACGGGGGGCAGCAGCAAGGAAUUUUCGGCAAUGGGCGCAAGCCUGACCGAGCAACGCCGCGUGGAGGAUGACGGCUCUUGGGUUGUAAACUCCUUUUGGGGGGGACGAUAAUGACGGUACCCUCCGAAUCAGGCCCGGCUAACUACGUGCCAGCAGCCGCGGUAAUACGUAGGGGCCAAGCGUUGUCCGGAAUUACUGGGCGUAAAGCGUGGGUAGGUGGUCGGUGAUGUGCCGCGUGAAAGCGCCGGAGUAAUGCCGGCGAGGUCGCGGUAGACACACGGACUCGAGGCUCGCAGAGGAACGUGGAAUUCCCGGUGUAGUGGUGAAAUGCGUAGAUAUCGGGAGGAACACCAGUGGCGCAAGCGGCGUUCUGGGCGAGACCUGACACUGAGCCACGACGGCGUGGGGAGCAAACAGGAUUAGAUACCCUGGUAGUCCACGCAGUAAACGAUGCAUACCAGGUGUGGGAUGGCGUUCGCGUCGUUCCGUGCCGCAGCUUACGCGAUGAGUAUGCCGCCUGGGGACUACGAGCGCAAGCUUAAAACUCAAAGGAAUUGACGGGGGCC
rnacentral:rRNA from 1 species